rnacentral:misc_RNA from 1 species
UGAAUGUAAAAAAGAGUUUAUAUUAAAAAAAAAAGAUUUUAACAAUAUUUAUAAAUAUGAAUAAAUAAUUUAUUUAUAUAAAUUCAUUUUGACAAUAGCCUUUGCAUGUUAAGUGAGAAUAAAUCCUUACCCGAUAUAGUUGAGCUUUUGUUUUUAUUGGUCAACAAUAAGGUCUGGUGGGAUUAAUUAUUCAUUAGAGUCCAAAAAAUAGUUUAGGGACCACUUUGUCAUUUUCCUAAUUUAAUUUUAUUUAUGAAAAUAUUACUGGUGCUAAUUAUAUUUGUAGCACAUCUGGAAUCCAAAACUCUCCUUUUUCUCCCAUAAUUGAUGGCAACAGAGAUCAUUCCUACCUUAUAAAGGAUAUCCAAUAUUUGCUCCUUUCAUAUUGGGAAAAAAUAAUUCCAAAUACUAAUCUCUUUUCUUUGCAUGAAUUUUAGGUUCGCAAGCCAUCAAAUUAGGAAAUUAGGUUUGAGAUUUUCUUUUGCUUAAGGGCAGCAGAUGUUUUGGCAAUAAUAUGAA